rnacentral:tRNA from 1 species
GGAGAAGUGUCAGAGCAUGGUUUAAUGAAAUAGUCUUGAAAACUAUCAAAGGUAGUAAUAUCUUUCAGGAGUUCAAAUCUCCUCUUCUCCUCCA